UACGUAGGAGGCAAGCGUUGUCCGGAAUUACUGGGUGUAAAGCGCGUGUAGGCGGCAGGCCAAGUCAGUGGUGAAAGCCCAUCGCUCAACGGUGGAACGGCCAUUGAUACUGCUAGUCUUGAGUAUGGUUGAGGUGGGCGGAAUGUGUCAUGUAGCGGUGAAAUGCUUAGAUAUGACCCAGAACACCAAUUGCGAAGGCAGCUCGCUAAGCCAUAACUGACGCUGAGGCACGAAAGCGUGGGGAUCAAACAGG
rnacentral:rRNA from 1 species